rnacentral:rRNA from 1 species
AUGAAAUUAAAAUUAUUAAAUAUAAUUUUAUCAAUAAUAAAUAAACUUAAUAAUAAUAAUAAUAUUAUUAUUAAUAAUCUAUUAGAUUCAUUAAUAAAUAAGAAAUUAUUAUUAAAGAAUAUAUUAUUAGAUAUAAAUAAUAAAAAAAUAAAUAAUAUAAAAAGAAUAUUAAAUAAUAAUAAUAUAAACCCCGCGGGCGCCAAUCCGGUUGUUCACCGGAUUGGUCCCGCGGGGAAUAUUAAUAAUAAAUUACAACAUUUAAAUAAUAUAAAUAAUUGAAAUCUACAAAUUUAUAAUUAUAAUAAAAAUAUAGAAAUUAUAAAUACUAUAAAUGAUAAAUUAAUUAAUAAAUUAUUAUAUAAAAUAAUAACUUUAAAAUUAAAUAAUAUAAAUAUUAAUAAAAUUAUUAUAAGUAAACUUAUUAAUCAACAUAGUUUAAAUAAAUUAAAUAUUAAAUUUUAUUAUUAUAAUAAUGAUAUUAAUAAUAAUAAUAAUAAUAAUAAUAAUAAUAAUAAUUAUUAUAUAAAUAUAAUAAAUAAAUUAAUAAAUAUUAUAAAUAAUAAUAUAAAUAAUAAUUUAUGUAAUAUUUUAAGUUAUUAUUAUAAUAAAAAAGUAACUAUUGAACCUAUUAAAUUAUCAUAUAUUUAUUUAAAUAGUGAUAUUUUUAGUAAAUAUAUUAGUUUAAAUGAUAUAGAUAAAUAUAAUAAUGGUAUCUUAACUAAUUAUCAACGUAUAUUAAAUAAUAUUAUGCCUAAAUUAAAUGAUCAUAAUAUUUCUAUAAAUUAUAUUAAUAAUAUUAAUAAUAUUAAUAAUAAUAAAUAUAAUAAUAUAAUUAAUUUAUUAAAUAAUAAUAAUAAUAUUAAUAAUAAUAAUAAUUAUAAUAAUAAUAAUAAUAAUUAUAUUGGUAAUAUUAAUAAUAUUUAUAAUAAUAUAACUAUUGAUAAUAUUCCUAUAGAUAUUUUAAUAUAUAAAUAUUUAGUUGGUUGAUCUAUUAAAUUUAAAGGUAGAUUAAGUAAUAAUAAUGGUAGAACUAGUACACUUAAUUUAUUAAAUGGUACUUUUAAUAAUAAAAAAUAUUUAUGAAGUAAUAUUAAUAAUAAUUAUAAAUUAAAUUAUAUCCCUUCUAAUCAUAAUUUAUAUAAUAAUUCUAAUAUUAAUAAAAAUGGUAAAUAUAAUAUUAAAGUUAAAUUAAACUUUAUUUAA